CAAUUAUUAUGUCUUUACGUUUGGAAAAAAAGUAUGUUAUUUUUAAAUUAACACAUCUUCCGUUUACUAGUGUCAAAAUGUCCUAUUAAUAAUGAUAAAUUUAUUUAUCAUUGAGGCCUAUCGACAAACAUGGCAUGUAUAUUCCGGGGAGUAGACUGGAGCAAAUGGUAACCCUUCCGGAACACAUGAGUUCAACCCCCGUUUUUAAGUUGUGUGUGCUGAUUAAUCUUUUUCAGUGUAUGUUUUGCGGACUGUUGUCGUUUGUUUGGGUUUUUUUUUCUCUUUGUUUUGUUGUUGUUGAAUUGUGUGCCUUUCUUUGACUGGGGAAUUUAGAUUUUCCACAAGGAAUUCAUUUUCUUUUCUCAUAUCGAAAUUUUGCAAAAAUCUAUUAAAUAUUAAGAAAUGUAUAACUUAGUAUUAUUGGUUGAUUUUUUAUUGACAUUUUAUACUUU
rnacentral:lncRNA from 1 species